UACAGAGGGUGCGAGCGUUAAUCGGAAUUACUGGGCGUAAAGCGCACGUAGGCGGCUUGGUAUGUCGGGUGUGAAAUCCCCGGGCUCAACCUGGGAACUGCAUUUGUGACUGCAUAGCUAGAGUACGGUAGAGGGGGAUGGAAUUCCGCGUGUAGCAGUGAAAUGCAUAGAUAUGCGGAGGAACACCGAUGGCGAAGGCAAUCCCCUGGACCUGUACUGACGCUCAUGCACGAAAGCGUGGGGAGCAAACGAGG
rnacentral:rRNA from 1 species